rnacentral:rRNA from 1 species
GAUGAACGCUGGCGGCGUGCCUAACACAUGCAAGUCGAGCGAGAACCGCUGGAAUGACACUUCGGUAGAAUGAAAGCGGGGAAAGCGGCGGACGGGUGAGUAACGCGUAGGUAACCUGCCCCAUACACAGGGAUAGCCUAGGGAAACCUGGAUUAAUACCUGAUGAAGCAACUGGUCGCAUGACCGGCUGCCAAAGAUUUAUCGGUAUGGGAUGGACCUGCGUCUGAUUAGUGAGUUGGUGGGGUAAUGGCCUACCAAAGCGACGAUCAGUAGCCGACCUGAGAGGGUGAUCGGCCACAUUGGAACUGAGACACGGUCCAAACUCCUGCGGGAGGCAGCAGUGGGGGAUAUUGCACAAUGGGCGGAAGCCUGAUGCAGCAACGCCGCGUGAGCGAAGAAGGUCUUCGGAUCGUAAAGCUCUGUCCUGGGGGAAGAAACAAAUGACGGUACCCCGGGAGGAAGCCCCGGCUAACUACGUGCCAGCAGCCGCGGUAAAACGU